UGGGGAAUAUUGCACAAUGGGCGGAAGCCUGAUGCAGCAACGCCGCGUGCGGGAUGACGGCCUUCGGGUUGUAAACCGCUUUCGCCUGUGACGAAGCGUGAGUGACGGGAAUGGGUAAAGAAGCACCGGCUAACUACGUGCCAGCAGCCGCGGUGAUACGUAGGGUGCGAGCGUUGUCCGGAUUUAUUGGGCGUAAAGGGCUCGUAGGUGGUUGAUCGCGUCGGAAGUGUAAUCUUGGGGCUUAACCCUGAGCGUGCUUUCGAUACGGGUUGACUUGAGGAAGGUAGGGGAGAAUGGAAUUCCUGGUGGAGCGGUGGAAUGCGCAGAUAUCAGGAGGAACACCAGUGGCGAAGGCGGUUCUCUGGGCCUUUCCUGACGCUGAGGAGCGAAAGCGUGGGGAGCGAACA
rnacentral:rRNA from 1 species